rnacentral:rRNA from 1 species
CCUACGGGGGGCUGCAGUAGGGAAUAUUGGGCAAUGGAGGCAACUCUGACCCAGCCAUGCCGCGUGCAGGAUGACGGCCCUCUGGGUUGUAAACUGCUUUUAUACGGGAAGAAAAAAUACUACGUGUAGUAUACUGACGGUACCGUAAGAAUAAGGAUCGGCUAACUCCGUGCCAGCAGCCGCGGUAAUACGGAGGAUCCAGGAGUUAUUGGGAUUUAUGGGUUUUAAAGGGUGCGUAUAAGUCAGUGGUGAAAGCCUGAAGCUUAACUGUAGAAUUGCCAUUGAAACUGAAAAUCUUGAAUUUGGUUAAAGUAGGCGGAAUGUAUCAUGUAGCGGUGAAAUGCUUAGAUAUGAUACAGAACACCGAUAGCGAAGGCAGCUUGCUGAACCAAUAUUGACGCUGAGGCACGAAAGCGUGGGGAGCGAACAGGAUUAGAUACCCUUGUAGUC